rnacentral:rRNA from 1 species
CCACCGCGGUUAUACGAGAGGCUCAAGUUGAUAGACAGCGGCGUAAAGAGUGGUUAGGGAAACUCCGAAACUAAAGUCGAACGCUUCCAUGGCUGUUAUACGCACCCGAAAGCAUGAAGCCCACCUACGAAAGUGACUUUAAAAAACCUGAACCCACGAAAGCUAAGGAACAAACUGGGAUUAGAUACCCCACUAUGCUUAGCCCUAAACAUAGAAUAAACUUUACCUAAUAUACUCCGCCCGGGUAUUACGAGCAUCAGCUUAAAACCCAAAGGACUUGGCGGUGCUUUACAUCCACCUAGAGGAGCCUGUUCUAUAACCGAUAAUCCCCGUUAAACCUCACCUCUCCUUGCUUAAUCCGCCUAUAUACCACCGUCGUCAGCUUACCCUGUGAAGGCCAAAUAGUAAGCUUAAUUGGCAGACCCCAGAACGUCAGGUCGAGGUGUAGUGAAUGGAGAGGGAAGAAAUGGGCUACAUUUGCUUAGUAAGCAAAUACGAAUGCUGUAUUGAAACAUACAACUGAAGGAGAAUUUAGCAGUAAGCAGGGAAUAGAGUGUCCUGCUGAAAACGGCUCUAAAGUGCGCACAUACCGCCCGUCACCCUCACCAAGCACCUGGACCUAAGUACAUUAAGAAAUCUCCAACCGCGAAGGAGAGGAAAGUCGUAACAUGGUAAGCG